rnacentral:rRNA from 1 species
GUCAACUUUAGUAAGAAGAAUAUACAGCAGAUAAACACACCUAGCAGCAUUACGAGUGGUGAAAUACAGAAAUAAAUACCUCUACCCGUGUGUGGAAUUAACGAAACACUGCUGCUAAACAGGGAUUAGAGACCCCUUUAUACAAGUGCUUAUGUUAUUUUGCGUGGUACUAAAACUUAUAAAGUUAAAACUUAAGCAACAUGGCGGUAACUUUAACUUAGGGGACUUACCUAGUAAAUGAUAACCACCAAGGUCAAACAACUGUGUGAAAAUCUUGUAUGCCGUCGUCGUCAGGUGGCACUUGAUGUUCCACCUAGAUAGUUAACUAAAAAGACAGAUCAAGGUGCAGACGAUUACAUAGAUUGGGCGAGUUACAAUUUGGAUUAUUAGCGGAUAGACUCUGUAACGAAUAUCUGAAGACGGACUUAACAGUAAUAGAAACUCCCAAUAUUUUAUGAACUACCUAAGUUGUGC